GGAAUUUUCGGCAAUGGGGGGAACCCUGACCGAGCAACGCCGCGUGAACGAAGAAGUUAUUCGUAAUGUAAAGUUCUUUUCUAAGGGAAGAAGAAAGUGACGGUACCUUAGGAAUAAGCCUCGGCUAACUACGUGCCAGCAGCCGCGGUAAUACGUAGGAGGCAAGCGUUAUCCGGAAUGACUGGGCGUAAAGGGUGCGUAGGUGGUUUGACAAGUUGGUAGCGUAACUCCGGGGCUCAACCUCGGCACUACUACCAAAACUGUUGGACUUGAGUGCAGGAGGGGCAAAUGGAAUUCCUAGUGUAGCGGUGGAAUGCGUAGAUAUUAGGAGGAACACCAGUGGCGAAGGCGAUUUGCUGGACUGUAACUGACACUGAGGCACGAAAGCGUGGGGAGCAAACAG
rnacentral:rRNA from 1 species